GAUGAAGAACGUAGCGAAGUGCGAUAAGUAAUGUGAAUUGCAGAAUUCCGUGAAUCAUCGAAUCUUUGAACGCAAAUUGCACUCUUUGGUAUUCCGAAGAGUAUGCCUGUUUGAGGGUCAGUCAAAUAAAAAUCGGGGUUGUUGCUGCCUUCGGUGGUGACGCUUCGGAACUGGGUCGUCUUUGCCUUCGGUUAAGUGACCUAAAAUAUCGGAUGAUUUUUCGAACGUAUUUUUAAAUUUUUUACGUACGUUUGUAUAUCGAAUAUUAGAUGCGGUCAUUCCCAUGAUUCGCGUCUAUAAUUAUUUCAUCAAAUGACCUCAAAUCAGGUAAGAGUACCCGCUGAACUUAAGCAUAUCAAUAAGCGGAGGA
rnacentral:misc_RNA from 1 species